rnacentral:rRNA from 2 species
AUCAUGAUUUACAUUUGAGUGAGUGGCGAACUGGUGAGUAACACGUGGGAAACCUGCCCAGAAGCGGGGGAUAACACCUGGAAACAGAUGCUAAUACCGCAUAACAACUUGGACCGCAUGGUCCGAGUUUGAAAGAUGGCUUCGGCUAUCACUUUUGGAUGGUCCCGCGGCGUAUUAGCUAGAUGGUGGGGUAACGGCUCACCAUGGCAAUGAUACGUAGCCGACCUGAGAGGGUAAUCGGCCACAUUGGGACUGAGACACGGCCCAAACUCCUACGGGAGGCAGCAGUAGGGAAUCUUCCACAAUGGACGAAAGUCUGAUGGAGCAACGCCGCGUGAGUGAAGAAGGGUUUCGGCUCGUAAAACUCUGUUGUUAAAGAAGAACAUAUCUGAGAGUAACUGUUCAGGUAUUGACGGUAUUUAACCAGAAAGCCACGGCUAACUACGUGCCAGCAGCCGCGGUAAUACGUAGGUGGCAAGCGUUGUCCAGAUUUAUUGGGCGUAAAGCGAGCGCAUGCGGGUUUUGAACUCUGAUGUGAAAGCCUUCGGCUCAACCGAAGAAGUGCAUCGGAAACUGGGAAACUUGAGUGCAGAAGAGGACAGUGGAACUCCAUGUGUAGCGGUGAAAUGCGUAGAUAUAUGGAAGAACACCAGUGGCGAAGGCGGCUGUCUGGUCUGUAACUGACGCUGAGGCUCGAAAGUAUGGGUAGCAAACAGGAUUAGAUACCCUGGUAGUCCAUACCGUAAACGAUGAAUGCUAAGUGUUGGAGGGUUUCCGCCCUUCAGUGCUGCAGCUAACGCAUUAAGCAUUCCGCCUGGGGAGUACGGCCGCAAGGCUGAAACUCAAAGGAAUUGACGGGGGCCCGCACAAGCGGUGGAGCAUGUGGUUUAAUUCGAAGCUACGCGAAGAACCUUACCAGGUCUUGACAUACUAUGCAAAUCUAAGAGAUUAGACGUUCCCUUCGGGGACAUGGAUACAGGUGGUGCAUGGUUGUCGUCAGCUCGUGUCGUGAGAUGUUGGGUUAAGUCCCGCAACGAGCGCAACCCUUAUUAUCAGUUGCCAGCAUUAAGUUGGGCACUCUGGUGAGACUGCCGGUGACAAACCGGAGGAAGGUGGGGAUGACGUCAAAUCAUCAUGCCCCUUAUGACCUGGGCUACACACGUGCUACAAUGGAUGGUACAACGAGUUGCGAACUCGCGAGAGUAAGCUAAUCUCUUAAAGCCAUUCUCAGUUCGGAUUGUAGGCUGCAACUCGCCUACAUGAAGU